GACGAGCGCUGGCGGCGUGCUUAACACAUGCAAGUCGAACGGAAAGGCCCUGCUUUUGUGGGGUGCUCGAGUGGCGAACGGGUGAGUAACACGUGAGUAACCUGCCCUUUACUUUGGGAUAACUUCAGGAAACUGGGGCUAAUACCGGAUAGGAGCUCCUGCUGCAUGGUGGGGGUUGGAAAGUUUCGGCGGUUGGGGAUGGACUCGCGGCUUAUCAGCUUGUUGGUGGGGUAGUGGCUUACCAAGGCUUUGACGGGUAGCCGGCCUGAGAGGGUGACCGGCCACAUUGGGACUGAGAUACGGACCAGAAGGCAACGGGAGGCAGCAGUGGGGAAUAGUGCAAAAUGGGCGGAAGCCUGAUGCAGCAACGCCGCGUGCGGGAUGACGGCCUUCGGGUUGUAAACCGCUUUCGCCUGUGACGAAGCGUGAGUGACGGUAAUGGGUAAAGAAGCACCGGCUAACUACGUG
rnacentral:rRNA from 1 species